rnacentral:tRNA from 1 species
GGAUUGUGGCUCAGUGGUAGAGCACUCGCCUAGCAUGCCCAGGGCCCUGGGUUCGAUCCUCAGCACCA